rnacentral:rRNA from 1 species
UACGGGGGGAGCAAGCGUUGUUCGGAUUUACUGGGCGUAAAGGGCGCGUAGGCGGUCAGCACAAGUCAGUUGUGAAAUCUCCGGGCUUAACCCGGAAAGGUCAACUGAUACUGUGCGACUAGAGUGCGGAAGGGGCAACUGGAAUUCUCGGUGUAGCGGUGAAAUGCGUAGAUAUCAGGAGGAACACCGGUGGCGAAGGCGGGUCUCUGGGCCGAUACUGACGCUGAGGAGCGAAAGCGUGGGGAGCGAACGGG